rnacentral:rRNA from 1 species
CCUACGGGGGGCAGCAGUGGGGAAUAUUGCACAAUGGGGGAAACCCUAAUCCGGCACCGCCGCGGGAGCGAUAAAGGCUUUCGGGUCGAAAAGCCCUGUCUUAAGGGAGGAUUACUACCGUUACCUUAGGAGGAAGCCCCGGCUAACAACGUGCCAGCGGCGCCGGUAAUACGUAGGGGGCUAGCGUUAUCCGGAAUUCUUGGGCGUAAAGGUGGCGUAGGCGGCCCUUCAAGUCAGAGGUGAAAGGCUACGGCUCAACCGUAGUAAGCCUUUGAAACUGUAGGGCUUGAGUGCAGGAGAGGAGAGUGGAAUUCCCAGUGUAGCGGUGAAAUGCGUAGAUAUUGGGAGGAACACCAGUUGCGAAGGCGGCUCUCUGGACUGUAACUGACGCUGAGGCACGAAAGCGUGGGGAGCGAACAGGAUUAGAUACCCCGGUAGUC